GAUCCUGGCUCAGGAUGAACGCUGGCGGCGUGCUUAACACAUGCAAGUCGAGCGAAGCACUUAAGUUUGAUUCUUCGGAUGAAGACUUUUGUGACUGAGCGGCGGACGGGUGAGUAACGCGUGGGUAACCUGCCUCAUAUAGGGGGGAUAACAGUUAGAAAUGACUGCUAAUACCGCAUAAGACCACGGUACCGCAUGGUACAGUGGUAAAAACUCCGGUGGUAUGAGAUGGACCCGCGU
rnacentral:rRNA from 1 species